AGCCGGUAAUACCCGAAGUCAGUAGUCCAACCACGUGAGGACGCUGCCGAAGGUAGGAUUGGCGACUGGGGUGAAGUCGUAACAAGGUACC
rnacentral:rRNA from 1 species